rnacentral:lncRNA from 1 species
CUAUAUGAAUAGAAUUAACUGUCCUAAUUACUUUGAUUAAGUAUAAAAUUAUGUCCUAGGAAAAAUUAAUAUGUCAGUCUGAUUGACUUUUAAGGUAUACAUCUAACAGCAUAACCACCAUCCCGUGGCCUUCCUCCUUAAGGCAAGAACAGCACCCAAAAUUGAAACAUGAGAGUGGUGUUAGCAAGUCACCACUAUUUGUAGGAAAUCCAUCCAUUUCACUAUCGAUAACAGAAGCCCAUUGACAGUCAGCAGCUCCCAUCUGAACAAGCAAAAUCUUUUUUUUACUUUUAGUGCAUGGAUCC